rnacentral:tRNA from 2 species
GCGGGAUUCGUAUAACGGCUAAUAUAUAAGUUUUCCAAACUUAGGACGGGAGUUCGAUUCUCCCAUCCCGCACCA